GGUUGCGGUGAUGAUUAUCAGUGUUCAAGCUCAACAGACCGGAUUGCAGCUUUAUUUGGCUGCAUGUCGAUAUUCCCGCUGAACUGAGCAACC